AUUGAACGCUGGCGGCAGGCCUAACACAUGCAAGUCGAACGAGUGGCGGACGGGUUAGUAAGGUCUGGGAAACUGAGUGGUGGAGGGGGAUAACUAAUGGAAACGGUAGCUAAUACCGCAUCCCAUCGGAUGGGCCGAGAUGGGAUUAGCUAGUAGGUGGGGUAAAGGCUGACCUAGGCGACGAUCCCUAGCUGGUCUGAGAGGAUGACCAGCCACACUGGAACUGAGACACGGUCCAGACUCCUACGGGAGGCAGCAGUGGGGAAUAUUGCACAAUGGGCGCAAGCCUGAUGCAGCCAUGCCGCGUGUAUGAAGAAGGCCUUCGGGUUGUAAAGUACUUUCAGCGGGGAGGCGUUACCCGCAGAAGAAGCACCGGCUAACUCCGUGCCAGCAGCCGCGGUAAUUC
rnacentral:rRNA from 1 species